GCCUGGCUAGCUCAGUCGGUAGAGCAUGAGCCUCUUAAUCUCAGGAUGGUGAGUUUGAGCCCCAUGCUGGGCA